UACGUAGGGGGCUAGCGUUAUCCGGAAUUACUGGGCGUAAAGGGUGCGUAGGUGGUUUCUUAAGUCAGAGGUGAAAGGCUACGGCUCAACCGUAGUAAGCCUUUGAAACUGGGAAACUUGAGUGCAGGAGAGGAGGGUGGAAUUCCUAGUGUAGCGGUGAAAUGCGUAGAUAUUAGGAGGAACACCAGUUGCGAAGGCGGCUCUCUGGACUGUAACUGACACUGAGGCACGAAAGCGUGGGGAGCAAACAGG
rnacentral:rRNA from 1 species